CUUCUGGCUUCUCAACCGCACAUGGCCUUCACUGGCCUCUUUGGGUAGGCUCUGACUCCACCUUAUUCUGUAUUCUGGUAGAAGAGACAGUGUUCUGGAAGAUUUCGUUAUGUCAAAACACCCAGCACAGGGCUAAUACACCUGUGGAGGGGUCGUCCUAUGGAGGUGGGUAUGGUGGGAGAAGAGACACCUGCGUUCUCCUCUAAAUAGACAUGCCUUGCUGUGCCCUUAGGAGCUUAAAGGGAGAAAUGAGUGAGUAAAAGUAACGCAUGAUAACCAGUGCUUCAGGUAGAGAGAGCUUCUUAUUCAUGGGCGCGGGUUGUUAACAGUUUAAGAUGGGGCGGAGUGACUGUUCCAUGCUUUUCAAAUUAUAUCCCCUAAAAGGAAGACAGAGGACAGGUGAUGGAAGCAAAAAAGGAUGCUAGUCAGUUUUCUUUACUACUUCAUCUCUUUUGGACGAAAGGUACUAGGUGUUUUGGUUUCUAAAGCCAGCUACCCCAUCUAAGGAUGAAGAUCUGGCCUCAGUCUUUCUCUCCAGCCUAAUCUCCUACAACCUCCUGGUAAAUAUCUUCCCCAACAGGCGAACCAAUUAAUCAUCCCAGAGCAUGGUUUGCCUUUUUUUUUUUUUUUUUGAUACUGCUGUCCUGAUCUAUUCUCUUGUUUUCAGAAUGUUCCUCACUAGCCCAGCCUAGUCCAGUUCAAAUCUCACCUCUCCCAUGAAGCCUUCUUUGACUAAUGCUUUUGCGGAAAGAACUCCAGGAACCUGGAAGAUUUCUACUUCCCAAGAUAUCAAUUGGAGUUGACUUGAUUACCUCUGCUGUAAGGACUGCUAGCCAAGGUUUCUGGGCUGUCUCAUUCUUCGCAUAAGGGCCCCUUUGGAUUGUCUUCAUUCGCUGUUUGAGGGCAAGGUGGUCUC
rnacentral:lncRNA from 1 species